rnacentral:misc_RNA from 1 species
GGGUCCUUUUAAAGGCAAAACCGGUGGUGGAGCAUAGACUUAGUGCUCUUUUUCUUUUGAAUUUUUUAUUAUUUCUUUUAAUUAUUCAUUGUUGGGUGUCCAUGUGGACCAUGUCUGCCAUAAGAAUAAAGAGAUUAUAGUGAUUAGGUCACUAUCAUGUGCAUUCUUGUAAGUCACAACACUUAAAAAGAUGGGUGGUUUAUUGGGG